UCCAUUUCUGAGUUAUCGAUGGUGAAUAAACGAGUAGAUUGCUUUAUUUACAAAAUAAUCAUGUUUUUUAUUUGUCUGGCACUAACUACCCAUUAUUAAUUCUAAUAACUAAUAAAUAUUUCUAAAACUAAUAAAAAUAAACAUAACAUAUAACAAUAAUAUUUUAUAAAUUAUUAGUUCCAAUGAAAAUUAUAAACAUCUUUUUGUUUUAAUGAGCAUUAUAUGUAUUCUAGGGUUAACUGUUAUCAGACUAAAAUUAUUUAUAAUAUAAUAAACAAAUAAUAUAUAAUAGCAAUUAUUAUUUGGAAAAUGAUAAUCAUUUAAUAGAAAAACGUAUUUCAGUUAAGAACAAAAAAACUUCCAAUGAACUUCCGAAUAUUUUUUGGUAUUUUGUUGAUUGCAACACUAUUCUUAGCAACUAGUGGAACUACUAGCGGUGGUAAAGGUUGGGGCGAAAGUAUAUGUACUGGUAUUAGCUAUUUUUUUCGAAAACUUAUUAGCGGGUCCCUAAAACUGAACAGCCUUCCACGUUUCCCAAGAAAACCUAUACGUAUGAUGAUUUACCAGCUAUUAAUGCUCGUCAUUUAUAUCCAAGCUUAACACAGUAUCCUAAUAGCGGAUUUAAUUAUCAAUCUAAAAUUGAAACUUCAAAAACGGAUAAUAUACUUACUCAGAGCACUGAAUCAAAUACCAA